rnacentral:rRNA from 1 species
UACGUAGGGUGCAAGCGUUAAUCGGAAUUACUGGGCGUAAAGCGUGCGCAGGCGGUUAUGCAAGACAGAUGUGAAAUCCCCGGGCUUAACCUGGGAACCGCAUUUGUGACUGCAUAGCUGGAGUACGGCAGAGGGGGAUGGAAUUCCGCGUGUAGCAGUGAAAUGCGUAGAUAUGCGGAGGAACACCGAUGGCGAAGGCAGUCCCCUGGGCCUGUACUGACGCUCUUGCACGAAAGCGUGGGGAGCAAACAGG